CUGGUACCCCGGGUCCCGGAGGCAAAUGAGGCCGGGGGUGGGAGAACUCACUGAGGGCCAGCAGGAAAGGGCCGGGUAAAGGCACCGGGACCUGAAGGGGCGUGGGGCAGGGAAUCCAACUCAUAGGUCUCCAGAGGGGCAGGAACUGAGGGAGCCUCCGAACGGAGGGUCCCAAGUCUUGGGAGCCGAGCUUGCAGGGUCUCGGGAAGGGGAGAGCCCGGCUCGGCUGCUUCUGCCCCAUCCUAUCCCCUCCCCCUCCCCUCUCUGGGGCAGGAAGUGGAUUCUCCGCCUCCCCUCCCCCCCAGCCUGGUUACUGGAAGUCUAUGAGGGCAGGGCCUGCCCCUCCCAUCCCCACUUCCUUCGACCCCGCCUCCUCCCUCCUGCCCUCCCCCUCCCUCCAGGCCUCGGUUUAUGGGAACUCCGGCCUCCGGCCCCAAGGUUUCUCUGAAAUCAGCAGCUCCUGCUCCCCUUCCGAGCCCCUCCCACAUACCCUGGGGCCUGGGACUAAGGGACAUCUAUGGGGGUGGGGAAAGGGGAGAAUGAGGAACUGGGGAUCAAGUGACCGCAGGUGGAGCCUGAGGGAUGCAGGGAAAGAAAGGAUGGAAGCAAGCCCCUCCACAUCGCAGUGGCCCAAGGCAACCUUAUGGCCGUGCAGCGCCUGGUCCACCUCUUUCAACAAGGGGGUCGGGACCUGGAUGUCUACAACAAUUUAAGACACCCCUCCAUUUAGCCGUCAUCACUACCCUGUCCUCCGUGGUGAGGCUCCUGGUGUCGGGGG
rnacentral:lncRNA from 1 species